AGAUGCCCUCAUUAGGAAACACACAGGACUCUUAGCCCAUGUCAUGGUACAGGAGAAGCAGUUACAAAAAUCUACGUAGAAAUUAGAUUUCAGUGACCCUAGAGAAAGGGUGUACCUGGCCAGCAUGAGAGCCCAACCAAAUUUGAUACAUCAAAUCAAAAUGGCACAAACAGAAGAUCCUGCUUGUGAGACCAUUAUAAAGA
rnacentral:lncRNA from 1 species